rnacentral:rRNA from 1 species
CGGCUAAAUGAGGACAAAGCUGUCUCUUACGGCCUAGCCAAUGAAAUUGAUCCUCCAGUACAAAAGCUGGAAUAAACUCAUAAGACGAGAAGACCCUGUGGAGCUUUAAAACCAAGAUCAUUAAACUAUGCUCCUUGGAUUUUUAGUUGGGGCGACUUUGGAGCAAAAAAAACCCUCCAAAACAUAAAUUUAAUUAUUUAGACCAACACACCAAGAAAAUUAUAUUAGACCCAGCAGUAUUUUUUUACUGUCUGACCAAUGAACCAAGUUACCCCAGGGAUAACAGCGCUAUCCUCUUCUAGAGUCCCUAUCGACAAGAGGGUUUACGACCUCGAUGUUGGAUCAGGACACCCCUAUAGUGCAGCCGCUAUAAAAGGUUCGUUUGUUCAACGAUUAAAGUCCUACGUGAUCUGAGUUCAGACCGGA